AUCUGAGAGAAAUAAACAAGGUGGGGAGAUACAGAAAGUGGGGUUUCCUGUAAGCACUUGUUACCGUGGGACUAGAACCAAGCCCACUAACAUCACCACUGGGUUCUAGAAGAUGCUCUGUUGGUGGAGGCAGGAAGGAGUAAACCAGAGAAGCAGGUAAACCAGGGAGGACAGUGCAGAGGGGAACUGACUACACCUGAAGUCAGUCUCCAGCAGGAGAAGAGGCAGCGGCAGUGACAGAAACACACACACACAGUGUGAAGAAGGUAGGAAGCCAAGGGAAGACAAUCUGGCAGGAAGGAGGAAAUAAAGCGUGCCUGUCAAAUCAGAGGUGGGCUUGGGGGGGCUGGAAGGACGCGGAGUGCCCUGUGAAGCCCAGAGCGAGGAGUGUACAUCAGGGGCUGGGUGUACACGAGGCCAGGAGCACAGGGUGUGAGUCCGGCAGUGAGAUCAACAACAUUGUGCGAUGUUGGCAACGGGUUCCUCAGGCCCUGACCUGCCUUCUCUGUUGCCCACACACAAACACGCAGCAGCUGCUUGGGACAGGUGACGCCAGGUUCAGGUUGAGGGGUUUGGCCAACAAAAGCUGUGCCUGAUGCACAGUCCAUGCCCCAGUCCCUGCAUAUGACCUAUCUGUGAGCCCUCGCCCCCCAGGCCAUCCCAGCAGCCAAGGACACCGGAGCUCCACAGCAGCUUCUUGGCCCCCAGGUCCCUCUAUCCUCCCUUCAGACCAUAAAAAAUUACAACAAGGAGGGGCACCUGGGUGGCUCAGUUGGUUAAGCAUCGGACUCUUGAUUUCGGCUCAGGUCAUGAUCUCGCGGUUCGUGGGAUUGAGUCCCCCAUUGCGCACUUCGCUGAUAGUAAGUACGUAGCCUGCUUGAGAUUCUCUCUCCCUCUUUCUCUGCCCCUCCCCUGCUCGUGCUCUCCCCACCCCCCUUUCUCUCAAAAUAAAUAAACAAACAUUAAAAAAAAAAAGAUUGUGACAAGAAAAUGAAGCACCGGCAACCGUGACAAAAUAAGGAUUUGGGGCUUGCAAGAUUCUGGAGGAAGCCAAUAGCAGAACAGGUAGUUUCUGAUGAAUAUGUUAGCUGGUGACAUGGCAGACCUUCCAAACACAAAGUCACACAGAGACAGCACAGAAAAGAAAAUAAGAAUCAAGUUUCAAAUGUGGAAAAAAGAAACAAAAAACAAGAACAAAAAACACCCCAACCUGUAAUUAAGACGCGUGGCUGGUCUGUUCCAGAGAAAGAGGAAGAGUAGAAGUUGGCAUCUGCUGGAAUUUGCCGAGGGGAGGUGCCCAGAAACCGGGCCAGCGGGGCAGAGGUCCAGCAGCCACAGGCUGGUCUCCCCGGCAUCUGGCCCACAACCUGCUGCAGCAUCCUGGCGACUGGCAUCGCUCUUCAAAUACCCUGCAGUAAUAAAGGAGCAGAGCUCACUACACAAUCUUCUAUUCUCCCAAUGCAUCCAGACUCAAGCUCUUUAACUGAAAUGAACACUAAGAUUGUCAGCUCAUGACCCAAAAACCGUUUGGAGUCGUGAACUGAACUAAAGAGGCUACCGAGUGGGAAGCCGGUCAAGAGCCUGCCAUGAGCCGUGCUCUGUGAAAAGGGCAUCAAACACUGUAGGCAAACAAAAGCCGGGCAGAGAUUUAGAACUGAAAUCGCACAAUGGACAUCAAUGGCAUCUAACGGUCACAGUGGAGGUGACCGUAUAUACAGCCAGAAACACCAAGUCAGUGGAUUCCAGUGAAGCCUUCAAAUCUUUACAACUGUUACCAGUCUGUCCACACACCAUCACAAGGCACAAACAGGUCCCAGGUUUCAUAAGCCAGUGCCCUGUAGAUCUUGUGCUAACCUUCAGAUGUUACCUUUAGAAUGAACCAGACUAGAAAAGCAGAUGGUUAAGAUAAAAAGGCCCUUGGCGAUAUUUAAUAAGCUGUAACUACUUUGUUUACUGCCAUCUCCUUAGAAAGGAUCAUUUAGAAAAGUCAUUUUUGGGGCACGUGGGUGGUUCAGUCGGUUAAGCAUCUGACUCUUCUCUCAGCUCAGGUCAUGAUCUCAUGGUUCGUGAGUUCCCGCCCUGCGUCGGGCUCUACACGGACAGUGCUGAGCCUGCUCGGGAUUCUCAGUCUCUCUCUCUCAAAAACAGAUGAAUAAACAACAACAACAACAACAACAAAGCCAUCUUCUCCUUUCCUUCCAGAUCACGUACAUUUUAGUCUCUCUCCUCUUCACCAGUUGUAUUGCUUACUGACCAUGAAAUCAGUUCUGGCCUUAGGAGGCCAAGAUGGUCCAAUCAUACAUGGCUUGAGACCAGAUCCGCAUGCAGGGCUUUCAUUUUCCUGAUUCCAUGCCCUGCACCCAGACAAGCAUGUCACAAGAGUAAAUCAGAGCUACCCCGCUUGCUCUGCUGGUUCUGACCCUCUAAAGUCAGGCACUCUGCACAUGGCCUUGUGGCUUCCACAGUAAGCUUUCCAACAGAGCUGGGAGAUAAAGCUUCAGAGCCAAUCCUGCUGGCCUGCCCCUUUACAAAGAGCUGACAAGAUCUCCACCACCUUCUGUUUUGCAUCAUACAAGGAGAAAAGGUAGAUGCCAGUUUUAGAUCUGACCUUGGCCAGCUACCACGCUCCGCUCAGCGCCUUGAGGCAGGAACAGUAACACAGCCCUUCAAAGCACGGAGGCCCUUAGUCCCAGCCAACUUUGCCAAACAAGCAGAGGAGAGCCUUCUGCUGGAGCCUCUCUAGCUUGCUGUGGGGUGGUCAGGACUGGACAAAAGGCCUCCCCUCCUCUGGACUGCAUUACAGGAAAGGCCCAAGCAUCUCAGAAAGACCUUUGUUUGGAGAAAUCAUCCUUUUAGUCAUGGUUGUCACCUGACACCAGGAUGAAUUGACCUGUCCAAGGUCAGGCAAAUACUAAUCACCAAGAAGGGGUAGGAAACCAGAUUCGUUGAGUCUCAAACGCUCCUUCCCAGCAUCCCUACUCUUCUCCUACAAGAAAAGAGAUGCGAUCAGGUACCCAAGAAGACGACAAAGAGGAACAUCCCCGUGGUCGCGCAGAAGGUACCCUCCACAUGCCCCCCCAAGCCCCCUCCAAUGCGCUUCCUCUGCGCCCCUCCCUAGGAGGGCACCAGAGCAGCCUAAGGGGUUCAGGACACCGCCAACUCUCUUGCUGUGAGAGCCUGCCUACACGCCUUUGCCAAACUUCAAGUUUCCUCAGUUUUAGAAAGGGGAAAAUGAUGGGACCACCACACUAGAUUACUGAGAGGAUUUAAUGGAGCAAUCUAGUUAGAGCACUUAGCCACACUGCUAAACGCAAAGACUCCAUCAACGAGCUGGUAAAAUCUGGACUUAUUGUGGGGAUGAGCCGAAAGCCAGAAAUGGUCUAGAAAAAAAUGCCAGAGUUUUAAAAAGCAUGAGAUACAGAGGGUCUCAGAGGGCAGUCCGGCUCUGAAGAGCGGGUGUCCUCCUCCCAUGCACACUUGCCGGGGAGAGGGGACCCAAGAAGACGCGGGGGGUGAGCCGCACACGGGUCUCCCGACCUCAGCCUGGCUCCUGGGGAAAAGGGUGUGGGGUCCCAUCCUCCCUGGGAGUUGACCGGGUAAACCGGUUUUACGAGAACAGCCGCGCCUAUCUCUAUUCCUUGGUGGAGGUUGCCCUUGCAAAGUGGAAGGGGUCGGGGGUCGCGUCCGGUCGACCGAGCGGCUCCCAGUCCACCCCCGCCCCCGGGCCCCCGGGCCCGGGCUCCCGGCUCCCAGCUCCGCGGCGACGGCUGGAGACCCGCGCUCACGGCCGGGUCACAUCGAUCGGAGUCCCAACGGGAGCCGGGGAAGGCGGGGGGCGGUGGUGGAUCUGCUCCUGGGUACAGCCGCCGGGGUAGCGUCCGGCCACCUCCGCACUGACCUUCCGAAGGAGCCUCCCAGAGAUGCUGAGCUGCGAGAGCCCACGCUGCAGCAGCACGUGGCCUGAGAUCCUAGCGCCGCGAGCGGAAACCCGAGCGGCUUUAUCCUCUCUGCGCCCGAACCCGCCCCUCCGCUCACCAAUCCCUUUCUUCGGCCAGCGCCCGGGCGGUGGCUCCAGGUCAGCAAGGGGCCGGGGUGCGGGAGGGGUGUGUGCGGAGGGAGGGCUCCCGUUGCCUUGGCAACCCUCCCCCGCCAGUAUAGGCCUCCGCCUCCGACCGACCCGGUGGAGAAUUAAGCCACUGCGAGGGACGCGCGCGGUGUACCGGGCUUCGGCGGUGCCAGCCUGCCAGCCUUCAUGGGGCACCUUCAGGGUGCCGGCAGCUCUGCGAGGGCGUCCCACUACACGGAAAUCGGCCCCGCCGUACGCCUGAGAACCGGCUCGGGCUGCUGUUGAGCGGCUCCGCAGGGAACCUGGGGAUGAAGGCGGGACGCCGAAGAGGAAGCUGGAAGGAUUGGCUCAGGAAAUACCCCGGGACCCGGAGACAGGAAACCUGGCUUUUUAACCUCUCAGGAGACUUCAGAGAUUAUGAAGGGCACCAUACCCCCUUCACAGUGGAAAAGGCAAAGACCCUUCCAGAAGCCAAGAGAGAGGCACUUCCAGUGGAUUUGAAUCCUGGUUGGAGUGGUUAGAGAGGCUGAAAACAGCAGAACCGGUCCCCAGCAACCGAGGUCCCCUCCAAGAAGCACUGAAAAAGACUCCAAUAUCUGGACAUACUACAGUUUAACCAUUCACCACUCCCUUGUAAUCUUGGUUGCUUCCAAGAAAUCUUGGUUGCUUCCAAGCUUUCUCAAUUGUGAAGAAAACAGCAGUAAAUAUCCAUGUGCAGGUUUUUGUGUGGAUGUAAGUUUUCAACUCCUUUGGAUAAACACCCAGGAGAACAACUGCAGGAUUGUUUGGUAAGAGUAUGUUUAGUUUUGUGAGAAAACUCCCAAACUGUCUUCCAAAGUGGCUGUACCAUUUUGCAUUCCUACCAGCUAACAAUAAAAGUGCUUGUUACAUCUUCA